CAAGCAGCAAGAAAAGAUGAUAUGCAUAUAACCGACUGCCAAGUCCCACCAACUCACCAAAAGACUUCAUUGUGUAUAUGAAAACCCAUCUUCCAUUCCAAACCACAAAUCUCUCUGUCCUUGCACUUCUGGAUAAAUCAUCCAAUAUGUAGAUGUUCUGAUCCACUUUCCAGAUCGCUAGGCAAUCUGCUAGGAGGUUAGCGUGCAAGAUCCUCAGAUUGGACAAAUUCUUCCCGGUUCGAGGCCAUGGAAGGAGGCAUUGUGGAUCAUGCUCAGCAUUUCCAGAUCUCCUAUCUUAGAAAACAACUCUUAUCCAACCCUUUCCAGUCCACCAACUGUAGGUUUUUCUUCAAAUGAUACGGAGAAUACAACAUGGUACUCUCAAGUUCAAUCCUUCAUAACCUUUUUUUGUUUUGGGAUUUUGAUCCAUGAGAUUUAUAUAAUAUUGGAUACUCAUGGAUGGAAUUGAACCUUGGCAAGAAACUAAGUGCAAAAGAAAUUAAAGGUUUGACAGUUCAGUCGGUGUGUAUGAAUCAGCUGAUGUUCAGAGACAGAUGGAAGAAAGGAUACAGGAAGAGAAAGUAAUCUGAUGUUCACUACUGAUGACUUUACUCAAUGGCCAAACACAAAGAAAAUGCCAUUACGAAGAGGAUAGGCAACAAAAAGCUAGUGCCAGCUUCCUCAAAGCCAACUUUUUCUAAUGUUUCUUUGACCCCCACAGGGGAGGGGGGGCGCCAGAUCCAAAUCACUACUAAUUAGUCUUGGGCUAUUAGUCAUAUUAAGGUAAAACUUUAUGGCAUAAUAAGAAGAGCAAGUACACCAUGAAGACAAUCUUGUCCGUUUCAAAUUUCUAAUGUCUAACAAGAGGGUGUUAAAUUUUUAAUAGCAUCAAUAUCAACAAAAGAUUUGUAUCACAACAAAGAAUAAGAACAUUCUCUUUAUUUUGGAAUCAUUUAACUUGUUCGACUCCAUAAAUAUGAGUUCCUAAUGACACUCAAUUUGCACUUUGGCAACUGUAAAAAUUGCUUUUACCUUCCCCUUUUUUUUUUUUUUUUCUUUUUUUGCAGUAGCGAGUAGACAAAAUGUUCCAAUGCUGACUUUUCAAUAUCACAUAACACAAGUAUUUAAAAAUCAUUCCAUCCUCAGCCAAAAUAAUUUGGUUUGUCGCCAUUUUAGACAUUCCUCAUCAUGAAAUAUUUACUUUGAAAUGCAUCAGUGCCAUAUUUGCAAUACUGUGUUACUGCCUGCUAGAAUGUAUAACAGUAUGAACAAGACUUAGAGAUCUUACAGGCUGCAUGGCCCAGACAUUCUCCAUUAUCAUCAUCAUUGACUGUAUCUUAUCCUAACCAAGUUAUGGUUGGUAGCAAGACAUUUAUAAUGUUAAGUUGUUAACUAACUCCUAAAAGUAGCAUUGACAAUAGAACUUCACGCAAAAGAAUAAUGAAAUUUUACACCAGAUGCCCUUCCUAAUGCAACACUCCAAAGAAGGAAUGAUGAGAUAACGCUCCAACACCAUUUCCAUACGAAAAAGUUUCAUGAUGUAGUGGUGAAUGAACAUAAUUGAUAUGAUCAUAUCCCCUCACAUAGUUGAUAUUGUGAAACCAACCCAUACAACAUGGAAACACAACCAUUAUUGCAAAAAUUUGGCGAUUUUUACGUACACAUGCCAAUGUAAAAUUUGCAUGGUUUUAUCCUCAACCCACUCUACAUCUUCAUUUUUCCCUUGCAUUUAUUUAUCCAGUUCAAAAGUACCUAGAAUUUUCACUGUCACAGCCCGAGGGUAUCAUUGUAAUUGAGGGGCGGGAUACACAAUUGUAAUUAGAGGAUGAGAUGUAGGGAAUUAGAGCCAAGUGCACGGCCACUUAGGAUGAGUUGUUACAUGAAUUCUCCAGAAGCUAUUACUAACUAAUUCUCCUAUAAAUAAGAGAUGCACACGAGGAUGAGGAUCAUGUGAGGAUUAUUCCAUAGAUCUUUUCCCUCCAAUUCUCUCUCUCUCUCUCUCUCACUCGUGUUCUUCCUUUCCCGCCUAGUCUCUGUUCUUCCUCAGUUACGGAAGAACCUUCUUGUCAGAUUUUGGAUCUGAUAUUUGGUAUCAGAAUCGGCAACCUGGUUAGGGUAGUAGCUAUGGCUAAAGGCACACGGACAAAGCAAAUGGAAUCCAGAUUGGAUGCCAUUGAAUUGGGGAUGCAACAUAAUCAAGAGCAGGUUGAAGAUCGCCCGGAGCCAUUGGAGUUGGGAAUCCACACAAGAGGAGAUCAGUCAGAGCCGAUCUGAGAAUGCGGCUAAUUUGGAUCGAGCAGUUAGUGGGCUCCAGGAGGAAUUUGUUGGAUUAAGCCAGCAAAUAAGUUAGCAAGUGAGUGUCGCCUUGAGCAUGUUUGCUCAGCAGCCCAAUGCCAACCUCUUAACAGAUAUUCCCCCCCGGGCUUCCUCGGAGCCAAUUUUGACGAUCCCAAGGAAUAGACCAAAACCCCAUGAUCCAAUGGAGGUAGAGAACAGAGUAAAGGCAGAGGAGGAAAGCUUCCACAAGGGAGUGGGAGGAACUCACCCCACACUUAUGGGGCCUAGAAUGGAAAUUCUCGCAUUUGAGAAGGAUAGGCCUAGGUGGUGGGUGAGAAGGUGUGAGCGGGUGUUUUAGUAGUAUAGAGUGGCUGAAAGGGAGAAGGUGAACAUGGCGGCCACGUAUCUUGAUGAUGUGGCCGAUGCUUGGUUCCAAAAUUGGUGUAGAGGCAAGGUAGAAUGGAGUUGGCUAGAGUUUGUGAAUGGCCUUUGCAACCAGUUUGGUGAGAAGACUAGGACCAAUGUUAUUGAGGAAUUCAACAAGCUAAGGCAAAAAGGGAUAGUAGAAGAGUACCAAGUGAGAUUUGAGGAACUCAGAUCCUUGUUAUCAUUGUCUCACCCCUCCUUGGAUGAAGCUUACUCCGUGUCUAGCUUCAUCAGCAAAUUGCAUGAUCAAAUCCGGGCCACGGUGAACAUGCUUUACUCGACAUCGGUGGGACAGGCGGCAGAGCAAGCUCAUCUCCAUGAGAUGGCUCUAGAGGCUUUGCAAAGAGGCAUAAGUUGUUUCCCAAGGGGGGGAGUUCAGAAGAGAAUCCCUACAAUGGAAUGAGUAAAGGGAGUAAUCAGCCUUGGCAGAGGAGUGGACCAGUAGGGAGAAACCAAACAAUCCCACUCCCAGCCAAGGCCUUAACGUUGGAUCAGAAUAGACAACUAGGGCUCUAUUUUCGUUGUGGGGAGAAAGAUGGCCCAGGACAUCAGUGUAAAAGGAUGCUCUUGACAAUGGAAGGCCAAGGAGAAGAGGAAGAAGUGGAAAUAGAAGAAGGGGAGGAGCAAGUAGAACAGAUUGAAGGGGAAGGAGGGGAGAUAUCUAUGCACGCCUUAUAGGGCGGGUUGUGCCUUGGGCAAAGUACUGAAGGUGAAGGGAAUCCUAAGAAAGAGAAGGCCGGUGGUACUCAUUGACAGUGGCAGUACCCAAAGUUUCUUAGAUGAAGAAACAGCCAAUGCCCUGCAAUGUGAGUUACAGGAGAUUCCCCCAUUGUAUGUUUUGAUUGCAAAUAGAAGUCGUAUGGUGAGUCAACUCAAAUGCAAGGAGUUUGAAUGGGUGAUGAAUGGACAAGAAUUCUCAGUUGAUUUGAGAAUUCUCAGGUUGGGGGGUUGCCACAUCGUAUUAGGAGUGGACUGGACGAGGACAGUUAGUCCGCUGGUAUUUAACUUCAACACUAGAAGUCACACUUGAGAUGAGGGGGAAGAAAGUAACACUAAAGGGUUGUCAAGAGAAGGAGGAGUGUAAGGCCAUGUUAGGGAAGAAGCUCCUAGAUCAUGGAGGGACCUUUGUUGGGCAGCUACAUUCUCUCUAUGCCAUGGAGACAAAAGUGGUUCCAAGGGGGGACCUUCCCAAGGACAGUCAGGGGAGAGGAUGGCACCCUAUGCCUUGGGCCAGAGUACCAACCAUCACUCAAGGACACUCUCAUGAACCAAUUCAACUAUUGUUGAUGGAAUUUGAGAAAAUCUUCGCUAAUCCUUCAUCCCUACCCCCACACUGGUUCCUUGAUCAUUCAAUUCACCUCAAACCAAAUAGUGAACCAGUUAACCUAAGAGCCUAUCAAUACUCCCCUGUUCAAAAAGUUGAGAUUAGAUUGAAAACUAGUAAGAGAGAUGUUGGAAAAAUCCCUAAUCCAACUGAGCCAAAGCUCAUUUGCUUCCCUAGUUCUUUUAGUGAAAAAUGAUGGCUCAUGGAGGUUUUGUGUGGACUACAGGCAACUAAACUCCAUAACCAUAAAAAACAAAUUUCCAAUACCUAUUAUUGAGGACCUCCUAGGUGAACUAACCGGGGCUUCCAUCUUUUCUAAACUAGACCUCACGUCAGGGUAUCACCAAAUUCGAAUGAACCCUAAUGACCGCCCUAAAACGGCCUUCCGCACCCACCUAAGACAUUAUGAGUUAUUCGUCAUGCCAUUUGGCCUCACAAAUGCCCUUGCAACCUUUCAAGCACUCAUGAACCACAUAUUUGCUCUGCUCCUUAAAAAAUUCGUGUUGGUAUUCUUUGAUGACAUUUUAGUCUACAGCCUUAACGUAGACCACCACUUGAUCCACCUAAGGAAGGCAUUUGAAAUCCUCAAAGACCAUCAACUUUAUGUGAAGAGGUCGAAGUGUACUUUUGCAAAAACUAGAGUGGAGUACCUCAGUCAUAUUAUAUCUGGCCAAGGGGUAAGCAUUGACCCUCAGAAAGUUGCAACUAUAGAGCAAUGGCCCAAACCUAAAACCCUUAAGGAGUUGAGAGGGUUCCUAGGACUCACGGGCUACUACCGCAGGUUUAUCAAGGGGUAUGGAGUGAUCAAUAAACCCCUCACCAAUUUGCUAAAGAAGAACAACUUCCACUGGGAUGAUGAGGCUAAGGACGCCUUUGAGACUCUCAAGAAGGCUAUGACUCAAGCCCCUAUGCCCCUAUCUUAGCCUUGCCUGAUUUCUCUAAGGAGUUUAUUCUAGAGACUGAUGAUUGUGACACCAGAAUAGCAAUUGUACUAAUUCAAGAGGGCAAGCCUAUAGCUUAUAUGAGUUAAGCCCUUGCUCCAAGGCAUCUAAGCUUAAGUAUCUACAACAAGGAGCUGUUGGUCGUGUUAAUGGCCAUUGAGAAGUGGAGAUGUUAUUUGGAAGGAAGGCAAUUCACCAUCCGGACAGAUCAUGAGAGCCUGAAGUUUCUCUCCCAACAAAGAGCACAUAAUCAGUUACAGAGGAAGGGUAUUACCAAGCUAAUAGGGUUUGAUUACAUCAUUCAAUACAGGAAGUGGUAGGAGAAUUUAGUGGCAGAUCCAUUAUCACGAAGGGAGAACAAAGUCAGUUGCCAUGCCAUACCUAAGAUCAAUAUUUGCAGGCAAGGCAGGAGACAUUACAAGUGAUAAGGAGGGAACUUACUAUAGCACAACAGAGGAUGAAGCAAAUGGCUGAUAGACACCACAUAGAUAGAGCCUUUGAGGUUGAGGAGGAGGUCUAUUUGAAGGUAAAAAGGUUUCAGCAACACCUUUUUACUAAGGGUCCUACAUUUAAGAUCAGCCCUAAGUACUACGGCCCUAUUAGAAUCAUUGAUAAGAUAGGACCCAAGCCUAUUGGUUACAACUUCCAGAGGGAGUGGGGUUGCAUCUAGUGUUCCAUGUAUCCCUUCUAGUGUUCCAUGUAUCCCUCUUGAAGAAGGCAGUGGGAACAAUUGAAGGAGUACACAGGGAGGUCCCAGAGCUAAUUAAAGAUAGGAUUGUGGAAGUGGAACCCCAAGCUGUACUAGAUAAAAGGGUGAUCUACCAAGAUUCCCUCCCGCUCACACAGGUCUUGGUGUAGUGGACCCACCUACAUCCCGACAACACCACCUAGGAGUACCUUCUCGAUCUUCUCCAACAAUAUCCAAGGGUGUCCAGGCUUCUUUGAAUUCUUGGGGACAAGAAAUAAUUCAAGAGGAGGGGGAUUGUCACAGCCCGAGGGUAUCAUUGUAAUUGGGGGGGAUACACAAUCGUAAUUAGAGGAUGAGAUGUAAGGAAUUAGAGCCAAGUGCACAUGGCCACUUGGGAUGAGUUGUUACAUGAAUUCUCUAGAAGUUGUAACUAACUAACUCUCCUAUAAAUAAGAGAUGCACACGAGAAUGGGGAUCAUGUGAGGAUAAUUCCAGGUAUCCUUUCCCUCCAAUUCUCUCAUUCUCUCUUUCUCUCUCUCUCUCUUCUUCUCUCAUUCUCGUGUUCUUCCUUUCCCUCCUAGUCUCUGUUCUUCCUCAAUUACGGAAGAAUCUUCUUGUCAGAUUUCAGAUCUGACAUUUACAUGCAACAAGAAAAAGAUUCAUCCUUUGGCAUUGUAACACCCCAUUCCUCCCGAGGAGCGUUAGAUAAAUAACUCACUGAUUUCGAGGAUAUUUUUUUUUUUUCCACAAAUACAUAAUAUAACCUUUUCCCGACAAUCCCAUAUCACCUUCUCAAACUUAGAAUCAUUAAGCUAAGACAGGUAAUAUCAUUAUAAAUGAGGAAGCUAGAUCAAAACCUGAUAUGGUACAUAACUGAAAUCAUUUCAUCCAUAACAUCAAAAUCGUACCAUCGUUUAACAUCACAUCAUAAAAAUAAAAUACAUAAUAAUCCAAAAGACAUGCUACGAUCCACCUAUAAGUUGUCGUCAAUCAUCGGCAAUUCCUUUCCCUUUGGCACUGCUGCUUUCACCUGGAACGUUAGAAUAUUCCAGGGACAAAGUCCAAAAUAAAAUGUUAAAUCAUCUAAGUGAGAGUUCAAAAUACUUUCAUGAAUGUAUGCAAGACAUGAAAUAACUGAAAUCUCACGACAAAUCCCAGCCCAAGAGAAUCCCACACAGCACUUAACCCUAACUGGGGAAAAUGCAAUCUCUCUAAAGGCAAUACAACUUCAUCAACACAUAUUGGCAUAACACAGUCCUAACUUAAGAGGGCCAACAUCAAUGCAUGAACCCCAUCAUCAUUACGUUCCCACUUAAAAACAUUCUGGAUCACGUCAACACAAAUCCUGGUCACAUGAUGAUCAACACCAUCUUGGGAAUCCACGUCCACCUCAGAAACAACACCACCGCUCAAUGGUCCCGAGGUGGUGUCCAUUCGCAGCCCCGCCACUUGAGCCGAACCGGGGUGGUGUACACUCUCAACCCCGCCACUUGUCGACUUGCAAGAGUAGCGUUCACUCUCAGCCCCUGUCACAAAUGGGCAUUUGCCCUUGGCACGCUUCCCUAGUGCUAUCACUCAAGUGCCACAUCAUAAGUUGAUAUCCCAUCCCAUAUGUACAACCCGUUACCCCAGUGUAACUUCCCUGAACAUCCAACCCGGCACGGAACCCCAGAUAGUCAUCCAACACACAGCACGAGAUACCCAUGUACGUUAUUCCGACAAACACCCUUGGGGAAUUACAGCUACACUAUCGGGGCAACAUCCUAGGUUGACAUCCCAUAUGAACAACACAAAAAUAUGCCAAUGCCAAAAACCAUGAUCCGAUGCAUCAUAUAAAACAACAUUUCGUGUACAUAAUUUAUCGCACAAAAUUCAAUGCACAUGCAUAAAACAUUUUGGGACGAACCCAUAUAAAACCAACCAUCACAGGUUAAAACCGUUCACAUGUAACAAAACCUUUGCAUGCAAUGAAAUCAAGUUUAAGAGAAGAAUAAACCAAAUUUUUAGAUAAAAACUCUCACCUUUGACAAAAUUCAGAGUACCUCAAAAAAUGCGCACCAACUCAAUUUGCGUGCCAGACCUCGAUUUUCAUGUCAACCUCAAAAUUCGCACAAGUCACUUCACCUUAAGCCUCAAAGCACCCUAAUCAUCAUAUUUAUUUAAAUAAGUAUCAAAACCUAUUUUUCCUUAAUUUUUUUGUCUUUUUCUCUAUUUUUCUCCAAUAUUCCCCUCUAAUAUUCCAAAUAAAUACUUCCUUAACUAAUUCAUCAAAUCUUUCUCCACAACAAUUCAUAAUAUGCUAAGAACUUCAAAAGAAAAUUCCAGAACUUACCCCGAUGCUUCGUUUGCACGUAAAACGAGGCUGGUCGUUGAAAAAACCGAGAAACUGAAAAGACCAACUCCAAAACUUUUUGCACAAACACCUAGAUCUUAUUUUUCAAGAAUUUUCCCAGCCCUUCACGCGCCGCGCAUGAUCUAUGAGUGGGAGAAGGCGUGUAAGCCUCACGCUCCAGUCUUCUUCCCUGGCUCUGGCACACCGACGAUGCUAGAUUUUUGCAUCUCGACAAUCUACAGGCCUAGUCGAUCAAGAUGGUACCUGGAAUGGCUCGAAAGGAUGGCCGAAAGGGGUCCAACCGGCAGCUCGAAGUCUCGGCCAGACCGUCCACCUAGGGCUCCGGCGAAGCUUCGGAUCUCACUCAUUUCUACUCCUUUGCUUACCAAAAUUUUCAUAAAUGCUCUACUACUCUCAAGGAUCAAAAGCCCUCUAUCCUUGCUACUCAAUUCUCCCUCAAAUGCCUUCAAUUUGAGCUUUAAUUCUCUAAAAAUUCUCAGCCACUUCGAUGCCUAUUUAUAGCCAAAACCGAGCUUUGAAACGCCCUUGGCCGCUUAAUCCAACAACUUAGAUGUCUCUACCUCCCCUAGAUUGACCUGGAAGCACCCUUAUUUGACCACAAAAGCGAUUUACAGAGCUUCGACAAAUUGGCCAGAUUUUCGAUCGAUUUUCUCGAAAUUUCGACCACUCCUGUGGCUAUUGUCGGCCCAGGAUCGACACUAAAGCAUCCCAGACCAACCCCCUCGUGUUCCCCGUGGCCGAAAUCGGCGAUCGACGACAGGCAGUGGCCUAGUCGGUUUCCCAUUGCCAACCUUUUUUGUUUUUUUGCACUUUUGCCCCACCUGUUUUAUCUCUUAUGCUCUGGCCCUUUUUCACAAAGCCCCUAAACUUGCCCUAAUUUCCAUUGAGACCCUCAAGUCCUAAAAAUUCCAUUUCAUCCCUGAAGAUUCCGAAAAAACAUCCUUUCGACCUCCCUCCGGCAAAUUCAAGAAAUUGCAUUUAGGCCUGAAUUUUCGUUUUGGCCGCAAACCUUUUUGUUUCUUCCUGAAACCACUGAAGAGUUCCUCUACAUACUAAAUAUGAAGCUACUCGGGGUUCCGUUGACUUCCCGGAAGCCCCCUACAAUUAUUCGAUUUUUCAGCCUAAAUCACAGUUAUAUUUUAGCUGUACCGAAAACCGUUUCCAAUCCAAUUUCUUUUGAUAUCAUAAAUUAUACCUCGAAAUACUUGACAAUUCCAUAUCAUUUUCUUUAGGCAUCUCGGCUCCAAGGCACUCCCUACAGUCGAUUCGGUAAAUCUCUCGAGCUAUUCUGAUACCUAUUUUCCCCGAAUCCCAUUUUUCUAAUAAAAUACUUAUUUCCCAAUUAACCCAAAGUUCUUGGGUAUUACAGGUAGGGUUGGCAAUGAUUCGAUUUGGUUUCGAUUUUUGUCGAAACUAUGACCAAAUCAAACUUAAACUACUAAAACCAAAACCAAACCAUUACCCAUUGGUUUUAAAAAUUAAAAACCAUAACCAAACCGUUCGGUUUCGGUUUUAACCAUGAUUUUUUUAGUUUGAUCCAUACCAACAAACAAAGACAAACUCUUACAAAUAGCAUUGAUAAAAAAAUUUGAUAACUCCAGAACAAACAAAGACAAACUCUAAUAAAAUUACCUUCUUCUUGCAUAAAGUUACAAAUUAACUUCAAACUUCUUGGAUAUAAUUAUUUAAUUGAUAAAAAUAAAAUAAUUUAAUAUUAGGUUUUAUUUUUAUUUGUUAAUUACUUUAUAAAUGUUAAAUAUUUUAUAUAUUUGUAAUACAUUAGUUAAAAUACUUGUAAAAAAAUGCAUUAGUCAAUAUAUAUAUUAUGUGUAUAUAUAAUAUAUUAAAUAAAUAAAUAUAUUAUAUAUAUGUAUAUUUGGUUCGGUCUGGUUCGGUUUCAGUUCGGGUUUUGGUUUGGAUUGAAUGAAAACCAUAACCAAACCAUACCCAUUGAAACAAUAUUCAAUUUUUCCCCGAAUCAAACCAUUACUCAGUCAAACGGUUUUUAACCGCAUUGACCAGUUCGAUUUCGGUUCGAUUCCCCACGGUUUCAAUUGCAAUUGUCAUCCUUAAUUACAGGCAUGCUUCCUAUGCUUUUUCUAAAUCACAACUUGUCAUCCCUACCUUAGCCCAAUUUAUGAUGCAUAAUAUUCACACUCCUUCACAAACAGUAUAUUAUGUUAUUUUUUCUAAUAUCUUAACAUAUUAAAUUCCCCCCCCCCCCCCCCCCCCCUCUCCCACAUUUUUAAGUAAGGAAGAAACUCCUUCUUGGACGAAGUUGUCAGUGUCAAUGAAGAGAAAUGCAAUUUAUAGGUUAUACUAGUUUCCCACUUUGCACAACAAAACCCUGCCAUUCAAUCACACUUUUCUCUUAACAUCAUUUCAAAGUAGAUAUGAAUUAGAAAGGCAUCCUCAAUGCAUGAGACUCCUUGCUUUGCAAACAUCAUUUUUGAAUGUAGCUUUUCCCUUGCUUUGCAAAGAAAUUGUUUCCACAACUCAUCCAAAAGAAAAUUAAUUUAAGAACAAAAGACAUAUCAUUAAAUUAACUCAUUCUCUUCUCAAUCCAUAGCUAUUGGCACGUUUUCCUGAUACAUGGAGUGAAAAUGGACAAGAUUUUUCACCUGAACAGUAUAAACCACAGCAUUAAUUGUAUAGAAACUUGGCCUGAGCCCAUCAGUAGAUACAGCACGUGCCUGUUAAUAUUCAUGUCAGCAACAAAAUCAGACCAAAAGCUCACAUGUCAGUCACUAGAUGCAUGCACAGGAAUAAACAAGUAUGACCUGGUAGUAUAUUUCUGCCCAGAACAAAACCAGGAGUGCAUAUGUUGUGAAGAACGCAAGGCUUGGCACAUCAAGCAAGAUAUGUUGGAGUGUCUAACAAAAAGCAAAAGACAAACUAAAAGUUAAAAAUUAAUAUUAAAAUGGCAUUAAACAUAAGGUAAAAAACUAAUAUGAGAAGAUAUCACUCCAAACCUCUGGUUGCAACUUUUGAAUAUCUCGGCGGAAAACAAAAACCAACGAUCGAACUGUCAAAGAGUGAGGGAAUCCAACUCAAGAUAAAGUAGUAACUAGUAAACCCAAGGGGGAUUAAAAGAGAAAAAUGGCAUACAAAAGAAACAACUUUCAAAAAUGAGUCAGGAGAUAUGAAAAGAUACAAACCCCCAUUCACCAAGAAAUUUAGAAAAUGGAAGACCUUCUGAGUGGUCCAACCGUACUCUGGUACUCUCAAUUGUAUCCGAACCAAUUGCACCUAACAACAUCAAUUUGCAGAAACUUAGAAACUGUAUAUUCCUCCCCCAUUCCCCCCCCCCCCC